CCGGGCACUGCAGCCGUGCAGGAUCUCCCAGCGCUCUGGAGUCUGCAGGGGAGGAAACUGGGGGAGGGGAAGGGGAAGUGCCCCGCGGGACAGUCUGCAGAGCGCGGCCUUCUCUCUUGGGGGUACCCGCUCGUAACCACGAGUGGGAACCUCGCGGCGCGGGACGACCUUAACACCGGGAGAGGAGCCUGCACUUCCCGCCACGGCCGCUGGGUGUCACUGAAGCCGCGCGGCUGAGCCGGCUCGGCGCCGUCGGAAGGCGGAGGCGUGGGUCCCGGGAGCCGCAGGACCGGAGCCCGCCGCGUCGGCGCAGGCCCCCACCGACUCGCAAUGAAGAACAAACUAACCCCCUUGCCCCGCGACGGAUGGGCUCAUUGAUGUGGAGCCACGCGAGCCACCUCCCGCCGGCCCGGCGAUCAACGGCGCGUACUCGGCUGCCCUGUGGGGCUGGGUGCGCUGAGCCCAGCCCUCGAAGCGCGCCCCCUGGUGAAAUGCGCGGGGCUUCCCGCCACAGAAGCCAAGGCGGCUCUACCGAGUCCGGCGCCCGUCCGCGACAGCAACUGCAUGUAGGCCGGGUUGUUCCUGGGGAGAAGGGAGCGGAAGGGAGCGGAAGGGCGGGCGCCGGAUGCAGCGGACCUUCCGCACGUGCUGCCGAGCUAGAGCAACUGCGGGAUGCGUCCCUGAGUGCAUCCUCACUCCUAUUCCAGCUUCGCCCAACUCUUAGGUCACGUGCUACUCACCCAGACGCCCCUCCCCACCCCGCAGCACACCCCUUUGAUGUGUGGGAAGGGCUGGCUCAGCUGAGAGAAGGGAACCAGAAGAAGCCAGAGAUCUCAGCUACUCAGCAAGGAUGUCCAGCUGACAAUUUCUAGUAUCCCGCUCAGGGCUGAGCCAGCUGCCACCUCUAAGGACCCCUAGCAGCCCAGGUUCCUCAUAGUGGCCAGCACUGAGAAGGGAGGGGGCAGAGAACAAAGGGCAGGGCAAGGAAGCCUGUGUUCCACCACCUUCAAGAUGG
rnacentral:lncRNA from 1 species